rnacentral:lncRNA from 1 species
GGUAAUAGAAUUAGAGAAAAACCCUUUCAGCGACAAGCAAUUUCAGUUUGAGGCAUAAACCAUAUGGAGGCUAAAGUUAUGCCCACAGAGGCCAAAGGUCAUUAAAUUAUAAACAAUUUAGAUAAAAAAACAACAACAGCAGCAACCAAUAAAAAUAAUAAAAAUGGCUAUAAUAAUAAUAAUAAGCAUUUGAUUCUGUCUAAAGAAACACCAAGUAGGAUCUAUUUUUGUAUUUUCUUUUUAUUCCCACUCUUGCUGGAAGACGCCAUGCAAGGCUUAUCCCCCUUGUCCAUGAGUUAAUUCAUCAAAAGGAAAAGUUUCAAUAAGAUUUUUUUUUUUGGUUUCAAUAAUAAACCGACCACUGUGACAUUCUUUGAGCUUAGGCUAUCUUCAUAAUACUGAUUUGUGUAGCCUAGGAAACAGCUCAGACCAGCGCAGAACCGAGCCCCGAGGAUUGUUUUGUCCAUUUAUUUCUCCAAAUUCAACAUUAGGACUGGAGCAAAUGACUUCAACAAGUUUGACUUGAAUUUCAAGGAAUAUAAGGUUCAACGAAGCUAAAAUGGUGCAGGAUUAAAAACGAGGUCUACCUACAUCUCUGUUGGAUGGUCACACGGGUCAGCGGAGCCCUGUGAGGAGGGAAUCCUCCAGGUUUCUGUCAGAGUUGACUGUAAACAAACGCUGCCCCACAUCCAGACAAGCACAGAGGUAAACAGACGUCAACAACAGGCCACGGAGGAGAGUCAAACCAACGGAAAAUACUACAAUUACUGUUGCAUUUUAAAAAUAUGUAAAACAACUUAUUUAGCCCUCCUUAACUUGAGAGAAGAACCUUAAAUGGAACAAUUCUAAUUUUAAAAUGUAAAAAAAUACCUAAAACAUAGAACAGAGAUACGCAUUUCAAAAAGUGUUUUAAUUUCUAAGAAUUUGCUUUAAUGCUCAGUAUUUCUUUCAAUUUGCGUAAAUUUGUAAUGCUUAAUUUCCCUACAGUGUGUACAUAAGAAAUAACAAGAUUUACACGUUUGAUUAAAUUAUUAGAACAACAGGAAACCGAUUUUUAUAUCACGGUGUAACUUAACACGUCAGAAAACAUUUAUAUAUUUAUGUUAUGCAAAGUUUUAUAAUCAUCCCGAUGCCAGGUUUACGCCCCUGUUGGACUCAAGUGUUCGGACUGGACGUAUAAAAGAGUUAAAUUGUAAUAAAGUAAUAUAGGUUAUGGGAAUAGAAAACA